AGCAAUGCAAGCAUAUCGGGUGUCCACCCAUUUCAUCGAACGCCGGUUCGUCGAACGACGUUUCAUCGACGCCAUUUUAUCGAAUGCCGUUUCAUGGAACGCCACCGGACAGUUGCUCACCAGACAAUUGCCCGUCGGACAACUGCUCACCGUUAGAAUCAGUUUCGUCAAGAGGACAAAUACGGACCUUUCGGCUGCCAAUACUACUGCAGUGACGAUGGGAGGCCUGCCAACCGCCCAGACAACAUAACGUGCCAGGUACCUGUGCAGAUAUCGCCUGAGCCAAGACCACCUUGAGAUGUUUCUCUCCUGCGUUCGUCAGCGAGGUUGCUGGUUGUUUUUCUAAUUACUCCUCAUUGCAUAUGAUUCUACUAUGGCACUGUUUGACAAUGGCUUCCAUUCCUGCUUGCAGCCUUUACAAUGCCACUACCGUUUAUUGUGAACGAAUCUGAACAUACAAGAAUAAAAGGCCUUUGUAACACUC